rnacentral:rRNA from 1 species
GCUUACGGCCACACCGCCUGGUUAAUGCCCGAUCUCGUUUGAUCUCGGAAGCUAGGAUAGGUUGGGCCUGGUUAGUACUUGGAUGGGGAGACCGCCUGGGAUUACCAGGUGCUGUAAGCU